AUUGAACGCUGGCGGCAGGCCUAACACAUGCAAGUCGAGCGGAUGAAGGGAGCUUGCUCCUGGAUUCAGCGGCGGAAGGGUGAGUAAUGCCUAGGAAUAUGCCUGGCAGUGGGGGAUAACGUCUGGAAACGGGCGCUAAUAACGCAUACGUCCUGAGGGAGAAAGUGGGGGAUCUUCGGACCUCACGCUAUCAGAUGAGCGUAGGUCGGAGUAGCUAGUUGGUGGGGUAAAGGCCUACCAAGGCGACGAUCCGUAACUGGUCUGAGAGGAUGAUCAGUCACACUGGAACUGAGACACGGUCCAGGCUCCUACGGUAGGCAGCAGUGGGGAAUAUUGGACAGUGGGCGAAAGCCUGAUCCAGCCAUGCCGCGUGUGUGGAGAAGGUCUUCGGAUUGUAAAGCACUUUUAGUUGGGAUGAAGGGCAGUAGUUUAAUACCUUGCUGUUUUGACGUUACCGACAGAAUAAGCACCGGCUAACUUCGUG
rnacentral:rRNA from 1 species